UUGACCAGAGCAAAACACCCAACCGCGACGUAAGCCGGAGGAACCGCCGCACCGGAAAGCCCCACUGCUGGUAAGUUUCAAUUUUUUGGGCCCACCGAGGGCCCUAAGUGUGUUUUCUCACAGGAACCGAUGCAAGUUUGGCUAAAUUCGGCCGGAAACAGCCAAAAACAGCCAACCCAGGGCGGAUUGCCCCUGCGAGCAACGACACCAUCGCCGGAGCCGCCGUGCCAAAGUUCCAAAAUCGGUCGAGUAGGCCCUAGGUAUGAUUUUUGGGUUAUUUAGCCGCCGUGCCAUAGUUCCAAAAUUGGUCGAGUAGGCCCUGGGUCU
rnacentral:lncRNA from 1 species